GAACGCUGGUUAGUCUUGUUUCGGGUUCCGGCUGCGUUAGGCUUGCGUGCGGCUCGCUAAGACUAUGGCGUCCGGGCCUCAUUCGACAGCUACUGCUGCCGCCGCCGCCUCAUCGGCCGCCCCAAGCGCGGGCGGCUCCAGCUCCGGGACGACGACCACGACGACGACCACGACGGGAGGGAUCCUGAUCGGCGAUCGCCUGUACUCGGAAGUUUCACUUACCAUCGACCACUCUCUGAUUCCGGAGGAGAGGCUCUCGCCCACCCCAUCCAUGCAGGAUGGGCUCGACCUGCCCAGUGAGACGGACUUACGCAUCCUGGGCUGCGAGCUCAUCCAGGCCGCCGGCAUUCUUCUCCGGCUGCCGCAGGUGGCGAUGGCAACGGGGCAGGUGUUGUUUCAUCGUUUUUUCUACUCCAAAUCUUUCGUCAAACACAGUUUCGAGAUUGUUGCUAUGGCUUGUAUUAAUCUUGCAUCAAAAAUCGAAGAAGCACCUAGAAGAAUAAGAGAUGUGAUUAAUGUAUUCCACCACCUCCGCCAGUUAAGAGGAAAAAGGUAAGAUUGGCAUUAUUGAACAUAGUAUCUCUUGCUACUGCUGUACCGUGCACCAGUCAUCAAAUCAAAACAUCUUUCCUCUCAAGUGAAUACGGAUGCAAAAGAAAACGGACUUUAAUUUAGGUGUUAAAGUUCAUAUAGGAACACUGAUAUUUAAAAUAAUUUGAAAAAAGAAACAUAAUUAACCGGUUAUCUAAAGUU
rnacentral:sRNA from 1 species